CUUCAAUGCUCGUUCACCAUAAUAUCUCUCAGUCGCCCACGAACUCCAUCAUUCUCUCUCUUCAUUGACCCCAAAACCCACUAUCAAAAAGAUCCAUAAAUUCAUGGAUUCAGAUCAGGGUAAGCUGUUUAUUGGUGGGAUUUCAUGGGAAACAAGCGAGGACAAGUUAAAGGAUUACUUUUCCCAAUAUGGCGACGUUUUGCAGACCGUGGUUAUGAGAGAGAAAACCACCGGGAGACCCAGAGGUUUUGGUUUUGUGGUUUUUGCAGAUCCUUCCAUUCUCGAUCGUGUCCUUCAGGAUAAGCACACCAUCGAUGGACGAACUGUUGAGGCGAAGAGAGCCAUGUCAAGAGAGGAGCAGCAAACAUCAGCCAGAACUGGAAACUUCAAUCCUUUUAGAAACAAUGGAGGUGGUGGGAACAUCAGGACCAAAAAAAUAUUUGUUGGAGGGUUGCCUCCCACUCUAACUGAAGAUGGAUUUCGUCAAUAUUUUGAAGGUUAUGGCAAUGUCACUGAUGUGGUAAUCAUGUAUGACCAGAAUACUCAACGGCCUCGUGGAUUUGGCUUUAUUUCCUUUGAUACUGAAGAUGCAGUUGACAGAGUUUUACAUAAAACUUUUCAUGAUUUGAAUGGUAAACAAGUUGAAGUGAAACGGGCUCUUCCUAAAGAUGCCAAUCCUGGAGGAGGUGGCCGUAACAUGGGAGCUGGUGGUUCUGGUUUUGGUGGUUAUCAGGGUUAUGGUGCUUCUGGUGGCAAUUCAAGUGCAUUUGAGGGUCGUAUGGAUUCUAAUAGGUACAUGCCGUCUCAGAAUACUGGAAGUGGCUUUCCACCUUAUGGUUCAUCGGGGUAUGGUACACCAGGCUAUGGAUAUGGUCCAUCCAGCAACAGUGUCAGUUAUGGUGGUUAUGGCAGUUACGGUGGUGCCAAUGCUGGGUAUGGUGGCCCUGCAGGUGCCGCCUAUGGGAACCCAAAUGUAGCUAAUGCUGGUUAUGUAAGUGGUCCACCAGGUGCACCCAGAAGCUCGUGGGGUACCCAGGCUCCCUCUGGUUAUGGUACCAUGGGCUAUGGAAAUGCUGUCCCUUGGGGUACUGGUAGUGGUGGUCCUGGUUCAACACCUACGGGUCAGUCUCCUAGUGGGGCCACUGGUUAUGGGAAUCAGGGUUAUGGUUAUGGUGCGUAUGGUGGAAGUGAAGGUUCUUAUGGGAAUGCCUCUGGGUAUGGAGCUGUUGGUGGACGUUCUGGUAGUGUCCCAAGUGGUAAUGCUGGUAAUCAGGGUGCAGGAGAAUUGCAAGGGAGUGGUGGCAGCUACAUUGGAAGUGGCUAUGGUGAUUCUAAUGGAAAUUCAGGGUAUGGAAAUGCAGGUUGGAGAUCUGAUGCAUCUCAAGCUUCUGGAAAUUAUGGAGCUCAAGCCAAUGGUCCUCAUGGUGGACAAGCUGGCUAUGGUGGUGGAUAUGGUGGUGCUCAGGCCCGGCAAGCCCAACAACAAUGAUCAGAUUGCUUUUUUGCCAACUGGACCAUAGCUCUAUGCUUCAGACCCAUCUCUUUGUGGAUGCGGUCAUGCUCUCUUGUUUUCUGCAACAAAUGGAGCAGCUCACCUUGAUGUCGUUGCUCUUUGGGACUGGAGGAGAGAUGUUCGAGUUCUAAGGUGGAGUCAAGUGCCCACUCACGGCUGAACCCGAGCUACAUAUUCGGGGAGUGUUCAGUAAGAGGGUUUUUUCAGCGUGGAGUGGGAGUGGAAGAGAACUUUCAGUUGAAAUUGUGAAAUAACCUGAGAGGCCAUUCCCCAGCCUGGCGGCCAACAGUGUCAUAUUUUGGAGAUUCUUUGCAUUACAUUUCAAGUCAUAAAUUUCCUGAUCUUCAUACUGGUUUGUGAAUUUGAUGAACAUAUGGAAUGUAUAGCCUAAGCUGGUUAGCUAUCUCUCUUUAAGCAAGUUGGCCAAAUUGUUUUAGGAUGCAUCAGAAUGGGUCAUAAUAUUUGAUUCCAGAUAUUUAGAAUAUUAGGAAACUUUUGUCCUUUAGAGGAUUUAGCUUAGUUUUUGAAUGGAUUAAGAACUUCCAUUACAUCUGUUCCAAGAUUUAUUUCUAUCUUCUUUUGUGUUGAUGGCCGUUUUACGCUUGCAAUGCAUUAUGUCAAUAUCAAUCUGUACCACAUUUGCUGUUGAAAUGUGCAUGUAGAAUAAUGUUCUUGAGAGAUUUCUACGAUAUUGACUGUUUGCUGAUAA